rnacentral:lncRNA from 1 species
AGCAGUUUCCAGGCUCCCCACGGCGGGGCUGAAUGAUCAAAACUGGUGGUGAGAAUUUUUCCGAGCCGUUUCUAGGCAGCCCUCCCCCACACCAGCUCCAGCAGACCCCCCCCUUCUUUCUCCUUCUCCCUCCCCCCACAUCCCAGCCCCUCCUCCUGCGUCUGGGCUGAGUGAUCAAAAUAGAGGAAGAUGGUUGUCGCCGCAAUCCCGGGCAUUGCAAGGCCUCCUGUCAGCUUCCUUCUUCGGGAGGAGGUGACAAGCUAGCCGGGAAGAGCCGGGAACCGGCGAGCUGCUCAUUGCGCCCGCGCCCGGCGCUCCCUCUCUAGGGUGCCACUCCAAAGAGCGAGGUUCAGACGAAAAAUAACAAGGCCUGCUUCUCUCUCGCUUGCUCGCUCACUCUCGCCUUUUAAAAUAAAGCAGCGAUUCAUUCCCUUUCCCCCUAGCAGUCGCGGUCGGGUGGGGUGGGCAGGCAGGCGACAAGGCCUUUUUUUUUUCCUUUUGCCCCUGCCUGCGGGUCCCCUCCCUGAAACGCGGUGUCAGAAGGCUUUACUGAUUAAUAUUUUGGACAGGCCGCGGCGGUCGGCAGCGGUGAGUUGCAUCUUAUAAAAGGUUCCUAUAGAAACCCGGGCUGUGGGGCUCUGCGGCCGAGUGCGCACCGCGCGCCCCUCCCCAAAGCCCCUUUUGGCGUGGGCGCCCCUCCUUCCCCCUUUCCCCGCCAAGAAAAACCAGAGCAGAAAAAAGGAUUAGAUCGGCGGAACGCGAGCUGAAUCCCUCUCGGUUCUGACAUUUCAGCCCUAUUAGCAUUUCUCCACGGGGCCUUCUGAAACCUAUUAAGGUGUAAUAUUAAAAACCUCUUGGCUGGGGGCCUCUCUCGCCUUCCAUCCGCCGCGCCCCCUCCAGGGAGGGCGAGACCGGGAAAGGGAAAAAAAAAAAUCUGUUGAGCUCAGAGGAAGCAAGCCAAGCCCAAAAGUGCUUGGCUGGCCACGGCGGCCAGAGGGGGAGGGGAGCACUAAUCCCCCAGACUUUGUACUUUUAUUUUGCUCUUUCAGCAAAAAAAAAAAAAAAAAAAAAAAAAAAA